UUGUUUUGUAUUUGCUGAAUAAUCAUUUAUAAGUAUCGUAACUAGACAACGUUUUAUAUUAUUCUUCCAUUUGUAUUCAUCGCUGCAGUAUUAUUGAUACGAAUAUGGCCAAUAAUAUUAAUAUUUUAGCUAUUUUUUUUAUGUUUAGUUUUAUCGGUUAUACAUUAUCUAAAGAUGAAAUGGUUUUAGUUGGUUUAAUGGUGUUUAUCCCAGAAUGUAUCAUCACAGAGCCACUCACAUUUUGUGGCGAAUAUGAAUAUGAUCCGAGUAAACGAUUAUGAAUACAAUGAGCAUAUACACAUAUAAAUGUUUUUUUUUAUCACAUAUAUAAUUUUUGGGUACUUUUAAUUACGAUGGUUAAAUUUAAGAACAAUUGUACUUUAUAUUAAACAAUAAGACGAUUGUAUAACUUAUGAUUUAUAUAAUAUAUCAUAAUAUAUCAUUUUUAUUUAUAAAACUCCUUGUUAUUUAUACUAAUUAUUACAUAAUUGUAUUUGAUAAAGCAUCAUUAUCGGAAAGAAUAUUGUUGAUAACAAAUAUUUUUUUUCU